AGAGUUUGAUCAUGCUCAGGAUGAACGCUAGCUACAGGCUUAACACAUGCAAGUCGAGGGGCAGCAUGAUCGAAGCUUGCUUUGAUUGAUGGCGACCGGCGCACGGGUGAGUAACGCGUAUCCAACCUUCCCUAUAGUAGAGGAUAGCCCGGCGAAAGUCGGAUUAAUACUCUAUGUUAUCCGUCGAUGACAUCAGAAGCGGAUCAAAGAUUGAUCGCUAGGGGAUGGGGAUGCGUCCGAUUAGGUAGUAGGCGGGGCAACGGCCCACCUAGCCGUCGAUCGGUAGGGGUUCUGAGAGGAAGGUCCCCCACAUUGGAACUGAGACACGGUCCAAACUCC
rnacentral:rRNA from 1 species